ensembl:processed_transcript Gas5 growth arrest specific 5
GAGGGCGUGUGAGGGGCGAGGUUUAAGUGGACGCAGCAAGCAGCCUUGCGUCUUGACGUCACGAAGACCUUAUAUACUCGACUCAGCCGCCAUCUCGGCCUUUCGGAGCUGUGCGGCACGCUGAGCAGGAAUGGCAAUGUGGACCUCUGUGAUGGGACAUCUUGUGGGAUCUCACAGCCAGUUCUGUGGCAAAGGAGGAUGAAGGCUUACGAGGACUCGUCAGGAAGCUGGAUAACAGAACAAGUGCAAUGUGCUAGAAGACCAGAAAAUGAAAUGGUGGAGUUUGAGGCUGGAUAGACAGUUUGAAAGGUACAAAUGAUGGUUUGAAUAAAGGUAUAACGCACGGGUCGCCUCAAGUGAAGGCACUGCAAACAAAAUGAUUGGUCAUUCUGAAUUUCCGGUCCUUCAUUCUGAAUUUCAAAGGCUCCUGUGACAAGUGGACAUGCAGUGACUGUACCUUUGUUUCUGAGGUGCCUGGAUGGAGGCUCAAAUAGAAGAUGGUGUCAGAUAUAUUGUGUUGUCAAAAUUUUACCAUUAAAGUGUAUUAUAACAUG